rnacentral:rRNA from 1 species
AUGGAGGAUAGGAAGAACCAAGAAAAGAGGACGAGAUGGGAGAUGGAUGAUGGUGAAGAUGAUGAUGAUGACAGAGAGGAAAGGAAAAAAGUUCAUAGAAGUCCCACUCCGGCCUCUAGCAUGGGUCAGCCUGAUGGGAGGAAGAGAGGAAAGGUGAAGCUCAAGAGAGAAGAAGAGAUGGAGGCGAUAAAAAAAGAUCAAUGA